AAGGGCACCACAAGAACGCGUGGAGCAUGUGGCUUAAUUUGACUCAACGCGGGGAAACUUACCGGGUCCGGACACACUGAGGAUUGACAGGCGCUUGCAGAUUUUUUUUUAUGUUCUUCGGAGCAUACAAAAAAAAGUUUGCUUUAAAUAUGCUAGUCCUUUCAUGAUUGUGUGAUAGGUGGUGCAUGGCCGUUCUUAGUUCGUGGAGUGAUCUGUCUGCUUAAUUGCGUUUCAGAUUAUAGGUACUUUCAGUCUUGUGUUGCAACAAGAAACAAUUGAGCAUAAAAAUAAGUUCUUCGGAGCUUUUUUUUUUUGCUUGUUGUUUUUUUUGCACACAGCACAUGUACCUUGAAGGUAACGAACGUGACCGCAACCCCUUGUUGCCUUCCUUCCAUCUUUUGAUGGACUGCUACCACGUGAUUUUUCCACAUUUUUUUUUUUUUUUUUUAAAAAAAAAAAAAAAUUUUGUUGGAAGGUCCUGUGGACUUUGCAGAGUGGGGUGCUUUAACUAGGGGGACCGCCGACCUUUUUAAAACGGAGGAAGGUUGCGGCAAUAACAGGUCUGUGAUGCCCUUAGAUGUUCCGGGCUGCACACGUGCUACAAUGAUUGUUGCAGUGAGCAUCUUACAAAGUUCGCGUGUAAAUGUUUUUGCUUCCGGGUAAAAAUUUUACACGCGACACACCUACUUCGAAAGUAAGUAGGUAAUCAAUUCGAAGUAACAGUUUCCCUUUUGCACUUUUAUAUGCCUUGUUCAUACUACCCGUAAAAAUUAGUUUCGGCUAAUUCUUUGCGGGGUUUUUGUAUGAACAAGGUGUGCUCCUUUAUUUCAUGGUGGGGACAGACCAUUGCAAUUGUUGGUCUCGGUCUUAACUAGGAAUGCCUUGUACGGGUCAUGGUUCAACAGACCACCCGGAAUAUGUCCCUGCCCUUUGUACACACCGCCCGUCGCUCUUACCGAUGGACUUCUCUGUGAGUUUGAGGGACUGGAUUUUAUUAUCUAUGGAAACUUAAACGAACAGUGUGGUCUAAAGGAAAGAGAAGUCGAACAAGGCA
rnacentral:rRNA from 1 species